GGAUCCUACGGGAGGCAGCAGUGGGGGAUAUUGCACAAUGGGGGGAACCCUGAUGCAGCGACGCCGCGUGGGUGAAGGAGCGUUUCGGCGCGUAAAACCCUGUUGUUAGAGAAGAAAGUGCGUGAGAGUAACUGUUCACGUUUCGACGGUAUCUAACCAGAAAGCCACGGCUAACUACGUGCCAGCAGCCGCGGUAAUACGUAGGUGGCAAGCGUUAUCCGGAUUUAUUGGGCGUAAAGGGAACGCAGGCGGUCUUUUAAGUCUGAUGUGAAAGCCUUCGGCUUAACCGGAGUAGUGCAUUGGAA
rnacentral:rRNA from 1 species